GACGAACGCUGGCGGCGUGCCUAAUACAUGCAAGUCGAGCGGACGGAUGGGAGCUUGCUCCCAGACCGUCAGCGGCGGACGGGUGAGUAACACGUGGGCAACCUGCCUGUAAGCCUGGGAUAACUCCGGGAAACCGGGGCUAAUACCGGAUAACUCUUUCCCUCACAUGAGGGAAAGCUGAAAGAUGGCAUCUCGCUAUCACUUACAGCUGGGCCCGCGGCGCAUUAGCUAGUUGGUGAGGUAACGGCUCACCAAGGCGACGAUGCGUAGCCGACCUGAGAGGGUGAUCGGCCACACUGGGACUGAGACACGGCCCAGACUCCUACGGGAGGCAGCAGUAGGGAAUCUUCCGCAAUGGACGAAAGUCUGACGGAGCAACGCCGCGUGAGUGAUGAAGGUUUUCGGAUCGUAAAACUCUGUUGUCAGGGAAGAACAAGUACCGGAGUAACUGCCGGUACCUUGACGGUACCUGACCAGAAAGCCACGGCUAACUACGUG
rnacentral:rRNA from 1 species